CAAUAAUUUUUAUUAGAUGCUCUUUUAAAAAAAAACCAAUCGAUUUACGAUUUUUUUCCCAGCUAAACGGUAAAUUCUACGAAGAAACGGCAGCUACGUCGUUAAAUUCAGUCAAUUUACGAUCAUCGACUUAUCAUCGCCAGUUAAUUAAAAUAUUUUUUAUCGCGGUAUAGUCUUUAGAAAAUUUCGAGACAUCUGUGCUAGAGAAACAGUUGUGGAGAUAUAUUCUGCACAUUACGAUAUGCUGUUUACAAGCACAUCUCCAUGUAUAGGUCUCACAUAUGCUAGCUACCUAUUUGAGGUCUAGCAGUACCUAGCUUCUGAGAGCUUCAUAGGUACCUGGCGACUUACCGCCUCGUUACCUAUUUUUCGGACACUGAGUGUAAUUACGAAUACCACACAGACAUUUACCUUAAGAUUAUUUAUCUUACGAAAUAAUAACACAUCUUCAGUUGUCAUUCCAUGUAUUGUUUAUCAAGUACAUGAUAACAACUUACUCAAGCUAUAUUAUUUAUACUGGCCUGUACAGUAUUACGAAAAAGAGAGAUGGCAUAUUCAUGCCUAAGAAAGUGCUAUGCACAUCACCACAGGGAAUAGGGAACAGUACACGGAUGUGGGAAGGUCCAUAUAUGUUACUCAUUUAGAUGAGAUUUACAAUAAGGAUCCUCGGAUGUUUUACGUAAUAACUCCUGGACCCGAGUGCAUCUGAACGACUCUAUCAACGUAACUGGAACACAGAACAUAUUCGAAAUAGAUCACUUGCUUCACCAGUUCAUAUUUCGUAUAUGACUGGACUUGUGCUACUAAUUUAGUCCAUUAGAUUUACGCAAAUAGCAUGGUAUAGGUGGUCCUAUACCAUCUCCGGAACAUUGAUAUCCGAUGUUGUAUCAUCGGGAGUCGCCAAAUGACUGGUUUCUCUAGCGUAUGUUCUCUCGUUACGAAGUAUAGAGUGAACUAAUCCGCUAGGUGUCGUAUUACGAAACUAUCUUUAAUGUUGGCUAGAGGCAGAACGAAUUUCUCUCGCAUACGCGACCGAAAAUGCAUCACAAUCUGUCUCUACAUAUGCCCCGAGUUUGUGUAAUGGCAUAGUGUUUACAUAAAUUCUCAAAUUAAGAGAUGAUUGCGAUCUCCUCUUCUUCUGCCCCGAAUUAUGUCAACAUUUGGUUAUUACGCUUGAACAUGGACCUUCCGAGAAAUGAAUGAAUGGAUAAAAUGGAAACUGUACUAGGUAAAAACAUAUUAAAAUACAUAAUUUGUAAAAAAUAAAGAAAAUAAAAAAAAAUAAUACUGCUUACUGAUAAGAAAAAAAAAUUUUACAAUGCUUCUUGUUUAAAAGAUAAAAAAUAAUAAAUAGUACAAGUAUGUGUUUUACGAAAUUUUUGUAAUGUGUUUCUGUUUUUCUGUUUCAGGUUUCUAUCUUGAUGGUGAAUAAUGUCUUGGAUUAAUCUUCAUUUCAGUUGAAACCGUUUGUGAACAAUCAUUACGGGAAGUAUAUUUCUCUUGUGUUACGCGAUGUGGAAUGUUUGAAUACUUUGUGUCAAAUUGUUUCAUAGGAUCAGAAGAUUUUCGAAAUGGUUCACUGUGUGAAUUUUUAUUCGGUGAGGAAUGGAAUGAGACCCAGGAUCAGUUCUAAGAUGAUAUGUUGUAUCAUCGUCGGCGCUUCGUUUUCACCUUUUUCAAUUGGAGUGGAUCGGUCAAGUAUGGAUUCCGCUUGUCUUACGUAUGUUACUGUUUCCUGUCUUUCAUGUGCUGUUCUUUGUAGCCAAUCUCGUAAUUUAGAACCUUGAUCCUUAAACUCUUUUAACAGGAUUGGAGGUAAUAUCACUAUUGUUUCAGCUCCUUUGCGUUCCAAAGUAUUUAUUAAUCGUAAAUACUGAGAUUUUAACUUUUCUUCACAGGUCCCAUCCAUGAGGUCUUUGUGGCCUACCGACAUUAUUAUACCUCGCGUUGAUUUUAGAAGGUGUUUGUCAAUAUUGCGCUCGAGUUGGUCAACGGAGAUGUUUGGCUGUAUGAAGUCAUUAAAUUUCAUCGCAUCUACAUAACUGGGAUCUGCUUUUACGGCUGUGUGGACAAUUUGUUGGAUUGCUCCAUCUCCAAUCAUGAAAUGAUUUUGAAUCAAGAAGAUUGUUUCAGAACCACCAUUUCCGACUGUCAUUGAAAAACUUCUGAGAAAUAGAUGAUCUUUGAUCGGGCGUAUGUUGUUGUAUACUUCUUUUGGUGCUCUGUUCAUUAGCGGGUAACUGAAAUUUUCUAGUUCUUUUCGAAAUAAAGUGUAGUUAAUCGGUAAAUAUACUGUUUGAGCUCUUUUUUCUGCAUAGGUAUCUAUUGUUAUCGAGUUACGUAAAUGUUUGAUUGUCUUGAUCGCCGCAAAUUGUCCAGGUUUAGGGUAACAUUUAGAAGAUGGAUAAAUCAUCAGAGAUUCAUAGCGUUUCGAGUUGCGUCUUUCGUAAUCUUGUUUUCUUAAUUCAUGUCUUCUGUUAUAUCCUAAUGGUGUUCUCGGUAUGCGUGUUGAAUAUCGAUAGCUAGAAUAAUUUGGUUUUACGUAUGGUCGUUUGUAUACCGGAGACGUCGGGCGAAUACGUGUGAUUGUUGAGUUAAUCGUUGUUCUGAUACUGCUUCGUCUAGGUCGGCUUUUAAUUUCUUAAUAAAUGUUUCAGGUCCAGUAUCUUUAACGCCAUCGGGUAAAGAGUAGAAUCUGCGAGCGGUGUCAGCUCGGUUCAAAAUGGCAUACAUUUCGUCAACAUAUUGCGAUCCCAUCGUAACGUUGUUAAUUGCAAGUUUGUCUGCAUAUUCGUGGAAUUGUAGAAUUGGGAUACUUUCGAUGUCGUGUUCGGGGGUAGGUUGACACUCGGCUAUCUGAUCUCUCAUUUUGGCUACUAUUCCAAGUUGUAUCAUGGUUUGUGACCCAAUUAAACAUACUUGGUUACAUUCCUUGAUUAUAUAAAAUGGUAUUUUUAAAUGAUGUUUUCCAAAUUUCAUUUUAGGUACGAUUAUAUAUUCCGAGGUGGUUACCACUUGUUUGUUCGCCAUCAUGCAUUGAACUGGUUCGUGUAAUUCUAAAAAGUCAAGCUCGCUUGAAUGUUCUCGUAUCAAUCUUAGCGCUGUUUCUUCAGAUAUAACGUUAAGGACUGCCCCAGUGUCAAGUUGGGUUGGGAAGUCCGUUUCAUCAAUUUGGAGAUUGACUACGCACGUUUGUGGCAUCAUCCGUCGCUGUAUUAAUUGGGAAACUACCGAAGGAGUUUCAUCGUUGCUCAGAGUUGAAUUUUUUAUUAAAUCAGCGCAGCUUUCUCCUGCUGUGUGUACACUAAGUACUGAGCUCCUGCUACUCGCGGUAAUUGAUCGAGGUUUACGAAAUCGUGCAGUGACAUUUCAGAAUGUACUUUUGACGUGGUAGUCAUCCCUCUGUCAUACAUAUCGGAUAAUACUGCACAGGUGGUUAACGUGCAACGAUGUGAUACAGUUAAGUAUUCAAUUUUAUCAAUUAAUUGUUGAUGUACGUUUUGGUAUAACGUAUCACGUAAUGGCGAUCUGUUUAUGUACUGGAUUUGAUGUCCAUCUCCGAUGAGUAUCACUUCUUUUACUUUCGAUUUUGCAAUAGCUAAAAUAAUUUCACCGAAAUGUACCAACAUGGCUUCGUCGAUGAUAAGUCGUUUAUAUUGUUGAUCACUACUAUGCAUUAAGUACGAAUCGAUGGUGCGGUAAUUUUUAACUACAUCUUGAUUUUCUAUGUCUAGGUUGCGUAAUUUACAUAAACGAGUACGAAAAUCUUUACAUCCUUCCUUCGUUGGAAAUAAUACCAAAUCUGUUCCAUCAGUGUUUACGUGUUUGAGUAUAAAUCCAGGUCACUUAAUAUUUUGGUAUCUUUGGUAACAAUAAGCAUAUCUGAAGAUAAAUUCGAAGCAUCUUCCACCUCAGAAGUUUGAAUUAAUUUGUUUCCAUCAUGUGCAUACUUGUGAUCAGGAACUGCAUCUUUUGGCAAGUGAGUAAAUAUUCCUGAUGGAACAUCGUAAAUUCCAAUUUCAUUGUUAUUGUAAUCUAAUAUUUUUUCAAUAUCAUCUUCUGAUGUGUUUAACAGUUUCGUAUGGAUGGCCUUAGUUCUAUGAUGAAUCGACAUAUAGGUGUGGUACCAGAUUGCAAGCUGUUCCUUUGCAGCGUUGUACGCAAUUUCCUCUUUCGAAAUGGCUUCAAUUUUUGGUGGUCGGAAAUCGAUUACAAUGGAAUCAAGGUGUGUAUCAUUGGGUGAUACUGAUUUUUCUGAAUUUGUUUGAUCCGUGGUGAUUAUUUUUUCAGGUGCCAACAUCGAGGUGUUUUCCGUACGGUCAAGUAGAUCAGUUUCAUCGAAUACUGUAUUACGUAAAAUUUCGGACUUCUCCAACUCAUUAGCAAUAACAUUUUUAAUGUUGUUUAGCUUGUGUUGGGCAGCUUCUUCCGUUUCAUCUAGUGUUGGGGGAGGCGGUAUUUCCUCUGGUAUUUUGAUUUUACGGUUAUCCAACGGAGGAGAUUUAGCACUUUUCGGGUGACUGUCUAACACAAUGUUUACGAACGUUUCGAUGAAUCUUUCUUUCAUUGCAUUAUUUGGUAAAUAGUUGCCAGCAUUAUUUGCAUAAAAUUUCUUAAAAUCAGGUACUACAUUAUGAUGGCGGUCUUCCUUUAUUACAUACUGAGACUUAAUUUUAGGAUGAGGUUUUAAACAGGUGAAUAUCAGCGAUGGUUCAAUCACUAAGCGGAGGUUGUGUUUUUUUGAUAAAGCAUAGAAGAUUCUUUGAAAGGCAUACCAUCGAGUGACUGGAACAUGGUUACGUUGAUCUUUCGUAGGUAAUACUAGCGGGAAAGCUAAGAUUAUGUCCUCGAAUCCUUUUUCAAUCAAUUCUAAGAUAAUUGCAUCAGCAUAUUUAAUGAAUUGUUGGUAGUCAACGUAGUUACUGUUAAGUUCUUUUUGACCGAAAGAUAUAACGGCGUGAUAACGGUGUUUGAAUCGUGUUUUACGUAAUGCUUGAAGUAAGCUAUAUGCAGAUACAUUAUCAAUUAGACAUAGUCGGUCAGUUUCGCAGUUUGCUAUGUCGAACAGAUAAGAGGCCAA